rnacentral:rRNA from 1 species
AAACCAACCGGGAUUGCCUUAGUAACGGCGAGUGAAGCGGCAAAAGCUCAAAUUUGAAAUCUGGUACCUUCGGUGCCCGAGUUAUAAUUUGGAGAGGGCAACUUUGGGGCCGUUCCUUGUCUAUGUUCCUUGGAACAGGACGUCAUAGAGGGUGAGAAUCCCGUGUGGCGAGGAGUGCGGUUCUUUGUAAAGUGCCUUCGAAGAGUCGAGUUGUUUGGGAAUGCAGCUCUAAGUGGGUGGUAAAUUCCAUCUAAAGCUAAAUGUUGGCAAGAGACCGAUAGCGAACAAGUACAGUGAUGGAAAGAUGAAAAGAACUUUGAAAAGAGAGUGAAAAAGUACGUGAAAUUGUUGAAAGGGAAGGGCAUUUGAUCAGACAUGGUGUUUUGUGCCUCUGCUCCUUGUGGGUAGGGGAAUCUCGCAUUUCACUGGGCCAGCAUCAGUUUUGGUGGCAGGGUAAAUCCAUAGGAAUGUAGCUUGCCUCGGUAAGUAUUAUAGCCUGUGGGAAUACUGCCAGCUGGGA